rnacentral:rRNA from 1 species
GAUGAACGCUGGCGGCGUGCUUAACACAUGCAAGUCGAACGGUAAGGCCCUUCGGGGUACACGAGUGGCGAACGGGUGAGUAACACGUGGGUGAUCUGCCCUGCACCUCGGGAUAAGCCUGGGAAACUGGGUCUAAUACCGGAUAGGACCACUGCCUGCAUGGGUGGGGGUGGAAAGCUUUUGUGGGGUGGGAUGGGCCCGCGGCCUAUCAGCUUGUUGGUGGGGUGAUGGCCUACCAAGGCGACGACGGGUAGCCGGCCUGAGAGGGUGACCGGCCACACUGGGACUGGGAUACGGCCCAGACCCCUACGGGAGGCAGCAGUGGGGAAUAUUGCACAAUGGGCGCAAGCCUGACGCAGCGACGCCGCGUGAGGGAUGACGGCCUUCGGGUUGUAAACCUCUUUCAGCACCGACGAAGCGCAAGUGACGGUAGGUGCAGAAGAAGGACCGGCCAACUACGUGCCAGCCGCCCGCCGUAA